CGGGGCGGGGAGGCCGGUGCCGCCCCGCGCCGCCGGGAUUGUUCCUCGCCAUUGACACGGUACUUCACAAAGCUGUUUUUCUCUGUAUUUCAUGAAUACACACGAAUUGACAGCUGACGUAAACACUUCGCGGAAAUAACAUAGUAUAAGUUAAGGGUGUAACUCUGCCUUCAGAACUCACUUCACAGCUGGCCCAGCAAAUGCACAAAUGAUACCGGGAUCUCUCAGAACGGCAGCAAACAGUUUUCAACACAGCACACUGCAGUUUGUACAUGAGGGUGGUUUGUAAUGUAUCUCUAUCUCUCCGUGAAAGCUGUGUGCAAUAUUUGUUCUAAACACAAACUGUUAAAUCGUACCGUGUAUUUCGUUAAUUGGGAGCCUGAGAGCCGUAGCGUCAAGCAGGGAGGCAACUUUGCGCUCUGAUCCUGGAAGCGCUAAUGGGAUAAUGCUUGCUAUUUUUCAGGACUUCUAGGAUAAAUUGUUCGUAACUUUUGCAAAACUAGGGACAAAAUCCCUGCUUAAGGAUCCAGCAAACGAAAACUAAAAAAUCCGUCUAGAGAAAGAUAAAACUCAUCGUAAACAGUAAAGGAAGCUACACGAGAUGCUGGGUGUAGCUCAUUUUCAGGGAGUAGACUUGGGUAGAAAAUUAGAGGUAUACCCAGAACGCAGUUGUAGGAUCUGGUAUGGAAAACCUGGUCAUUCUGAAGUUCGCUGUAUUAGUAUAAUUCAUGUAUGAAGUUCCCGCAGUGCCUGAGAGGGAAAUGUGCAAGGAUGCAAUGUAUAUUUUUUUCUCUGCAUGACAGCAUGCCUUCGGGGCAGUUGUUUUUAUAUUAAAAAUAUGUGUUUGUUU